GGCAGCCUCCACAGAAAGAUGUUACUCUGAACUGGGGCCCAGCCUCAGACAAAAGCCCUUUUGGAGUCUUUGGUGCAUUCAUGCGUGCGUGUGAAUGCUGAAAAUCACAACAUUGAAGUCCCUCGAUGUGUUUUGCUUGGUCCUCACAGAUUUCACAUUUAAUGCAUAUGCACGAGCAAGAGGAAAAGCACUGAGGAGACUCCCUUAUGGCCUCUGGAAUAAACCGCCCCGGACAGCACCUCGAUUCCUGACUUCCUGCCACUCAAACUGUGAGAC